AUUGAACGCUGGCGGCAGGCUUAACACAUGCAAGUCGAGCGGGGACUUCGGUCCUAGCGGCGAACGGGUGAGGAAUGCUUGGGAAUCUGCCCAGUAGCGGGGAUAACGUUUCUAAAGGAACGCUAAUACCGCACACGCCCUACGGGGGAAAGGGGGGGAUCUUCGGACCUCUCACUAUUGGAUGAGCCCAAGUCGGAUUAGCUAGUUGGUGGGGUAAAGGCCUACCAAGGCGACGAUCCGUAGCUGGUCUGAGAGGAUGAUCAGCCACACUGGAACUGAGACACGGUCCAGACUCCUACGGGAGGCAGCAGUGGGGAAUAUUGGACAAUGGGCGAAAGCCUGAUCCAGCCAUGCCGCGUGUGUGAAGAAGGCCUUCGGGUUGUAAAGCACUUUAAGCGAGGAGGAAUGGCUGAGGGUUAAUAACCUUCAGCAGUGACGUUACUCGCAGAAUAAGCACCGGCUAACUCUGUGCCAGCCGCCGCGGUAAAAC
rnacentral:rRNA from 1 species